UGAGGAACAUGACCUUCGGCGGGGGAUAGCCGGCCCAACGGCCGGGUAAUACCGCGUACGACCACAUGGGGACAUCCCUGAGUGGUGAAAGCAGCAAUGCGCCGAUGGAGUGCCUCGCGGCCUAUCAGCUAGUUGGUGAGGUAACGGCUCACCAAGGCGACGACGGGUAGCUGGUCUGAGAGGAUGGCCAGCCACAGUUGGGACUGAGACACCGGCCCAGACCUCGUAACCGGGGAGG
rnacentral:rRNA from 1 species